UCUCACAUAACUCUGCCGCUCCCGAGACUACCACCGCCUCUCAUCACACCCGUGUGUUGAUUUCUCUCGCAAUCUCAGUGCCUCUCAGACCCACAUCUUUCACUUUAUUGAUUUCUCUCUCAAUUUCCUCUGCAAGACCAGAAUUCAGAACUCCAACCCUUUGGCAAUGGAAAGGCACAAAGAGCAUUCUGAGGGUUCAAGACGCCGAUUUGUCAUUCAAGAGAUUUCGCCCGUUCAGCAGAAGAGAUCCCGAGCCCUAGGUGCAACCGAAUUCAGAAUACCUGAUGAGGCAAGAGGUACUUCAUCGGGGCCAUAUGUGUUCCGAACUUCAAUACGAGAGAGAAGCCUGAAGGGCAAGAAUUCACCGAUCUCUUUCGCCUGGUCACUAGAGCCGCUAAUUAUGAGCGGUUGCUGAAGGAAAAGAAACAGAGAAGACUUCAUCUAGGUCUCAAAUUUGUUGGUGUCGCUCCUUCAUCUCUCUCGUCAUUUCGCUCAUUCCUGGCUCCUCCUGCAGAUUGCUCCACCCAUACGGACUUGGAAAAAUGGAAGUUAUAGGUGGCUGAGUCUUGCUAAGUUCUAUGGCUUGCCCAAGGAAGUCUACCAAGGACUAUUCUUGACCUUUUAUCUUGGAUCCAUUGCCCUUUGAUCCCAAGCCACUAGAUAAUUCAAGAGGGAUUGUUCAUGCGGAGCAUUUGUUGAAGGAUAGCAUGUUGGUUGUUUGAUGCCAAACCUUCAACUUCCAAGUGCUUGAAGCGCUUUAAAUUAGAAGGAUUAUUGAUGUUGAGCAUAUCUCGGAGGAUUGCAUGUUGGUUGUUGGAGAUCACACCUUCAAAGGAUUAUUGAUGUUGAGCAUAUCUCGGAGGAUUGCAUGUUGGUUGUUGGAGAUCACACCUUCAACUUCAAGUGCUUGAAGCGCUUUAAAUUAGGUUGUAUCCUCUCCUUCACAUUUACUUUUCCUAUGGAAUGUCGCUGGUUGAGUUCUGUGAUUGGGAAUUGUCUAAGUGUGGGGAGGUAUCUAGUAGGAAAAAAAUUCAUCCAUUGCAUUGAGUUUGUGUUGCAGUUAGGUUUUGUCAUUUUGAAGCUUUCUUUCCCUUGUUGAUCUAACUGUGGGGAGAUCCAUUGCGCAUUGAUCUCAAGAUACUGGAUAAUUCAAGAAGGAUUAUUAAUGCUGAGCAUAUCUCAAAGGAUUGCAUGUCUCAACAUCAAGUGCUUGAAGCGCUUUAAAUUAGGUUUGUAUCGUCUCCUUCACAAUUACUUCUCCUAUGCAAUAUUGCCGGUUGAUUUUUGGGCUUGGAAAUUGUAGGCAUCUAGUAGGAAAAAAUUCAUCCAUUGUAUUGAGUUUGCAUUGCAGUUAAGUUUUGUCAUUUUGAAGCUUUCUUUCCCUUAGGUGUUGCAUUCAUUUAGGCUGAUGAGUCUAUUUGCAUUGAGGGCAAUGCAACAUUUAAGUGUCAGGGGAGGUUUGUUUUAGGUCAUUUUGCAUAGUGUUAUGAGUUGGCCAAAGUUUUUGAAAAAAUUAAAAAUUUUCUGAUUUUAUUUUUGAAAAAGCUUUGGAAAAUUAAAUGAACAGGUUUGUUUUGAUAUAAGAAUGCUUAGUUUGAUGAGAUUGCCAAUUAGACUUGAAGUGUAGCUAGGAUAGGAUAGAAUGUUCUACUUGGUUUGCUUGAGCCAGGGGAUAAUAUGGCCCUGAUGAAAGGUGUUUUUGAGCCUAUAUUGAUUCCUUUCUAGUGUGCAUUAUCCACUUAUUCCAUUUCAUUCUUCAGAACUUGUUCUAAUUCUUAUCAAAUCUACUUUUGCAUAUGCAUUUUGAAGAUGAUUAAGGCAUUUGGAUAAAAUAGCCAAUCUAGUCAAAUGGCCAACAUAUCAUGAUUAUAUCCUUUGCUAGCCACUUUGGGCCUAUUGAUUAUUUUCCUUCAUUCCAUUCAUGAUUUACACACUCUUGCUUUCUACGAAUGCAUCUUAUGCUAUAUUGUUGAAUGUAUUGAGUCUCUUCGGUGAACAUGGUCCAACUUGAGCUCAUGUAGGAAUUAAUUGGAAUCAUUGAAGGGCGAGCUGACUUAUACUCACAAUUUAAUGUAAGUGCUUUUUUUUCGUAAUGGUUAUUUGGGGAGUGUGUUCAUUUUUUAAUGUCAGUUGAUUUAUUUCCAUUUCAUUUGGAAUUGUUUUAGGGUUUAGGGUUUAGGGUUUCUCUAUUCUUGUUGUGCCCUUCUUCCCACUUUAAAUUUGACCUGUCUUUGGAAACGGGAGUAAUUUGCAUUAACUACGUAUUAAGCUCUAGGCUUCAUGUUGGGGGAAAAUUUUAGGAUGAAUAUUAUGGUUGAAUGGGUGGAUGAUGUCAAAAUGAUCAUGUUGAGUAGUUGACUUAUGUCUUGGAAUGUUAUCUAAUGAUACCCAGAUAAGAGUUCAAACUGCAUAUGUUUUGAUUCAGGUGAAAUGGCACUGACGUUGACUUUCAUUAUUUAUAAUGGUUAGUCUUUAACCUAGUGAGGAGUUGAGCCUACUUUAGGAUUCCUUUCUAGUGUGUAUUCAGCUAUCAAGAUUUUCACCCUAGAACUUGUUUUUAUUCUUUGUUGAUGCCAUAUUUGCAUGGCUUGCAUAAAAACGAUCAAGUCAUUCAUUUCAUGAUUAACUAGUUGGCCAAAAAGCUAACCUUGAUGCAUUAUAUUCCUUGUUAACUCCUUUGAUCCUUUGUUUACUUUCUUUUUGAAAUCCAUAACCAUUUUUGUAAACAAUAAUUUUCCCACCUUGUUAGGAUAUUUUAGAGGUUCAUAAGCAUUUAUUUUAUCUAGCCAAAAUCCUCUCAAUGAUUGACUGAAUAACAAUGAAAUAAAAGAGAAUAUUCUGUAAUCUGUUAAAUAAUUACGGAAUAUAAUGAUACAAUCAAAAAUAGAGAAACUAGGGUUUUUUUUUUUUUUAACGUA